UUAAUAUGCUUGAACACUCAACGGUAACAAAGAUCCGCUGCAACUUCACAUAGCUUUGAAAACCCAGUCAGAUGGAAGUCGUGAUCAUGUCAUCAUGAAGAGCAAAGAUCUUUUCCCUUCACUAUCAAUCCUACAGCCAUGAAACAAAGAAAGCCAUGGACCUCCCAGGCGCAAAAGACAAUAAAAU